rnacentral:lncRNA from 1 species
GCUCUGCCUGAGCUAAUUAAAAGCAAAUUGUUUAUAGCUUACAAAUUCCUAUCUUUGUUUGGCUGUUGGGGCUUGUUAUUUUUAAGGGUGUGUGAACUGUGAUUUCUGAGAAGUGUUAAUGAGUUCUCUUGGUUGCUUUCAUCUGAGAAUACAAAAUUUUACUAAAAUGUCAUUCUUUCUCUUUUAAAUGGUUCUGUUCUGUUAGGUGUCCAAACUGUGGUGGUGGUUUUUCUUUUUUUUUUUUUUUUUUCAUUUUUUCCCCUCCUUUGUUUUUGUUUUUAAUGCUUUUCUAAUGAGGGUGAUUUUCUUUAAGCUGCUGAGUGUUUUCUGUGGGGUACUAAGCCCCUGGAGGCUGUGGGCAUUGAAAGGUGCCUGACAUCUUAAACAGCUAGGUCCCUUUUAAUGUUAGCAUUUUUGCUUACGUUUAAUGGAUGAGGGUGGAUCUUCUUGGAGGUGAAGGUGUAGGAACCAAUUUUGACCACGUCCUCUAUGCUCCCUGCUAAGGGAAGGGGGGAAGCAAAUCAUUAAAAAUUAAUUAAAAGAAGAAAAGGAAAAGUAAGGAAUAUACUGUGUUUAAGACAGGGGAAGCAAGGAAUGUUGAAAGUUCUCUGCUUUGUGCUUUUCAUGUGUAAGACAAAAACUUACUGCCUGUCAGAAGUGGUAUAAGAAAAUCCAUCAACGUGUACGUGGUAUGUUGACUGCUAUGCAGAAGAUCAUACGUAACAUUUAAAUUUAACAAUUUCAACAAGUUCUUUUUGUUUUCUUCUGAAAAAUAUGAGGUUAAAGAGUAAGACUGUGACUUGCUGACUCUACAGAUAAAUAUUUCGAUCAGCUUGGAGUAAUAUCUGAAUGGAGUCGUUGGAGAACACAGUACAGAGAUAUCCAAGUUCCCUGGGUCUGCAACAGCAUGUGUCCAGAAUGAGGCUGGCUGUAUUUGUGUGAUAACAUGGGGUGCCUAGCAAGGAGGGAGAAGAGCUUUUCUGUGAGACCUUGUACUGUGACAUGGCAUCUUCCGGAUCCAGGCUGGUCCAGAUCUCUGAAACACAGCCAGCAAAUCUCCUGCCGCUGAGAGGAUGGCUGUGAAACAACUUUAGAUUUGCAGCACGUUGGCUGUUGCUCGGUAAUUGUUCUGUG